rnacentral:rRNA from 1 species
GUGGGGAAUAUUGGGCAAUGGGCGAAAGCCUGACCCAGCGACGCCGCGUGAGGGAAGAAGGCCUUAGGGUCGUAAACCUCUGUUGUGUGGGAAGAAGGAAGUGACGGUACCACACGAGGAAGUCCCGGCUAACUACGUGCCAGCAGCCGCGGUAAUACGUAGGGGACGAGCGUUGUCCGGAAUUACUGGGCGUAAAGGGCGCGUAGGCGGUCAUUUAAGUCAGCUGUGAAAUGGUCCGGCUCAACCGGAUCAUGCGGUUGAAACUGGAUGACUGGAGUGCGGGAGAGGCAAGUGGAAUUCCCAGUGUAGCGGUGAAAUGCGUAGAUAUUGGGAAGAACACCGGUGGCGAAGGCGACUUGCUGGCCAGCAACUGACGCUGAGGCGCGAAAGCCAGGGGAGCAAACGGGAUUAGAAACCCCGGUAGUCC